rnacentral:rRNA from 1 species
CCCCUAGAUGUUCUGGGCCGCACGCGCGCUACACUGAACAGUUCAACAAGUCUUAACCUUGGCCGAUAGGUCUGGGUAAUCUUUGAACGCUGUUCGUGAUUGGGAUAGACCUUUGCAAUUAUGGGUCUUCAACGAGGAAUUCCUAGUAAACGCAAGUCAUCAGCUUGCAUUGAUUACGUCCCUGCCCUUUGUACACACCGCCCGUCGCUCCUACCGAUUGAGCGAUCCGGUGAAUUAUUUGGAGUGUCCACGCAAGCCAAUCCGUUUACGUGGGUGCGAAAUUUUGUAAACCUUAUCGCUUAGAGGAAGGAAAAGUCGUAACA